GACAGAGGGUGCAAACGUUGUUCGGAAUUACUGGGCGUAAAGCGAGUGUAGGCGGUUUGGUAAGUCGGAUGUGAAAGCCCCGAGCUCAACUCGGGAAGUGCACUCGAUACUGCCAAGCUAGAGUAUCGGAGAGGUUGGUGGAAUUCUCGGUGUAGAGGUGAAAUUCGUAGAUAUCGAGAGGAACACCGGUGGCGAAGGCGGCCAACUGGACGAAUACUGACGCUGAGACUCGAAAGCGUGGGGAGCAAACAGG
rnacentral:rRNA from 1 species